rnacentral:rRNA from 1 species
UACAGAGGGGGCAAGCGUUGUUCGGAAUUACUGGGCGUAAAGGGCGCGUAGGCGGCCUGUUAAGUCGAACGUGAAAUCCCCGGGCUCAACCCGGGAACUGCGUCCGAUACUGGCAGGCUUGAAUUCGGGAGAGGGAUGUGGAAUUCCAGGUGUAGCGGUGAAAUGCGUAGAUAUCUGGAGGAACACCGGUGGCGAAGGCGGCAUCCUGGACCGAUAUUGACGCUGAUGCGCGAAAGCCAGGGGAGCGAACAGG